CAAGGGACCCUGUAACCAAGCUACUGACAUCCUGCAUAAGGUGACAGAGGCAGUAGAAGAAGUCUUCAGCAAGCUGAAAAGCAUGGAGGCAUCAAAGCGUGCUGUUGAGAAACACGCAGGAGAGAAAGAACAGGAAUUAAAAGGCAAGAAGGAUGAAAUUAAGCCUGAAAGAAGUGAUAAAAUGGAAGAGGGUGAAAAGCCAGCGGGAUCCUCCAAGGAACAAAAAGAAGAAAAGUUAGUAAAGAGUCCAGCAAAGCUAAAGGAAAAAGCGGAAUUGCCAAGAGGCAGUGAUGGUGACACUGAUGACGUGCCAGAGUAAGAAAGAGCAGAAGAGUCAGAAGGGAGAUCGAGACAAACUGAUUACUGAAGCUGACAAGUGUUUUAUUGAAAAUCAAAACAUUGCAGCUUCACAUGAAAGCCUCAAACGUGCUCGGAGUGGCAUCACCACAGAUGAAG